GAAUAAUUCUAUUUUCUGUCAAAUUUUUAAACUAAUUAGCUGAAAUAAUGAGAAUAUGCUUUAAGAAAUGUUGCAACUAAUUUAAAUUUGUUUUCUAAACCGCCUUCAUCUUCCUUUAGCACAGAGCAAAUGUUAAGGAUUAUGCUAACGGUUUCCUGCAGAAAAUGGGUGAACCAAAAACAUUGUCUGGUCUCAUCUUAUUGUUUUGUUAGCUAUGUAACAGGCUCUAUCAGGCCCUGAGCAAAUUAUUCAUUCAUUCAUUUUUAUUCACCUGCAAAUUGAAAAUAAACUGUUGAUAUGUACUCUGCUGCAGGCACCGUGCCAGUGACUAUGGGUACAAAGACGGAUAAAGCAUGAAUUUGCCUGGACAUAACUCACAGCUUACCAGAGCAGGAAAACCUUGGUACCAUCGGAAAGCAGUGCUGAUUCAGACCCCAAGUGAGCAUUCUUGGAUUUCAUGCAAGAAAUAAUUCAGGAUCAGAAACAAGUCUCACGAUUCUGGAGACAAGAAAGUCCACAAUCAAGGUGCUGGCAGAUCCGGUGACAGAAACUCUUAUCAACAGAGCAAACAGACAACCUAUAGAAUGGGAGAAAAUAUUUGCAAGAUAUGCAUCUGACAAAGUUCUGACAUCCAACAUCUAUAAGGAGCUUGAACAAAUUCAUAAGGAAAAAACAAACAACCCCAUUGAAUUUUCUGAUGACUAAUAAUGCUGAACACAUUUUCAUGUGCCAAAACACUCUAUUACAUGCUCCAGGUUCGUAAAACUUUGAAUCUAUAGCUUGAUAUCUUUCAUCCUUCUAAAAACAUUCUCACCCAUUAUCUCUUCAAAUACUGAUUCUGCUUUGUUCCCUUCUAUUCUCUUUCCUCUAUUCUCUUUUUCUCUUCUCUUUUCCUCUCCCCUCUUCUUCCCUCCUUUCUUUUCUUUUCUCUUCCUCUCCUCCUCCUUGCCCUUUUUCUUCUUGUCUUUCACAUCUGAGGUCAUACUCUAGAACUCCAAUCACAUGUAUGGUAGAAUUCUAAAAUAUUAUAUACCCUAGGCAUCUUAUAAUCUUUACUGUGUUUUGUUUUACCAUUUUAUCUCUUAAUGCUUCAUUCCUCAUAUUUUCUAAUAACCUAUCUUCCAGUUCCUUCUUCACGUGCAUCUAACAACUGUUAAACC
rnacentral:lncRNA from 10 species